rnacentral:snoRNA from 1 species
AACAUCAUAUAAUUAUCGCAAAUGUAUCACUAAUUUUAAUGAACUUUUUUCUUUAAUUGUUCAGGGGAAGAUUCAUCUCUUCAAUAUCUUCCUCGUUUAUUUCGGUAUACUUUAGCGUAGAGAGAACGAACGUUGCUGGGCGCCUUAUGUUGAUUAUUUCAGUGAGACAUUGGGAAUCAGCAGUAUCAACAUUU